rnacentral:lncRNA from 1 species
UUGAACUGUUGAGCUGCUGCUUCAACUUCCGCUGCGGUUGACAUUGUCACAAAUCCGAAACCCCUGCUCCGGCCAGUCACUUUGUCAUAGAUAACCUACAAUAUCAAACUCAUUUCAUCACAAAUGAAAACAAUCUCAAACCUUUAGCUAUGUUCUCACUUUAACUCUACUCAAAACGAUUCAAACCCAAUUAAGAAAGAUAAUUAAUCCAAAUCUGAAAACAGAAACCUAAAUUUAUCUUACCUCAACCAUCUCAACAUUUCCAGCGCUCUCAAAGAGCUGAGCAAGCUGAGCGCUAUCAACGUUAAAAGAAAGGUUACCAACAAAGAGCUUAAGGUCAGGAGAGAAGGAGUUACGCUCCACAGGCGCUGAAUCGUCACCGUCAGCGAACAUAUCAUCUUCCUCCACCUCAAAAUCCGAAGAUACAGCAACGUUUCUAACGAAACGCGACGGGUACUCGGCGGGGGAUGAGCAUUUGAGGGCGGAGGAAGCGAAGAUAGAGACGAGGUGGUCGGAGUGAAGUUUGAAGGAGAGGGAAGGAGGUAAGACGGAGACGGAAGCGGGUCUGGAGACGCAGAGAGGAAGGGAUUUAGGAUUGAAAGCAGAGAGGGAAGAAGCAGAGGCAGACAUGGCUAAAGCUUGAGAGAAUUUUGCUCUCGAGGCUAAAGCUUUGAGAAGCUGGUGGUGAAGAGAUAAGGUUUAAGGGUUCUGC